rnacentral:rRNA from 1 species
AACGAACGCUGGCGGCAUGCCUAACACAUGCAAGUCGAACGAGACCUUCGGGUCUAGUGGCGCACGGGUGCGUAACGCGUGGGAACCUGCCCUUAGGUUCGGAAUAACUCCCCGAAAGGGGUGCUAAUACCGGAUAAUGUCUUCGGACCAAAGAUUUAUCGCAUUUGGAUGGGCCCGCGUUGGAUUAGCUAGUUGGUAGGGUAAAAGCCUACCAAGGCGACGAUCCAUAGCUGGUCUGAGAGGAUGAUCAGCCACACUGGGACUGAGACACGGCCCAGACUCCUACGGGAGGCAGCAGUGGGGAAUAGUGGACCACGGGCGAAAGCCUGAUCCAGCAAUGCCGCGUGAGUGAUGAAGGCCUGAGGGUUGUAAAGCUCUUUUACCCGGGAUGAUAAUGACAGUACCGGGAGAAUAAGCUCCGGCUAACUCCGUG